UACGUAGGGUGCGAGCGUUUAAUCGGAAUUACUGGGCGUAAAGCGUGCGCAGGCGGUGAUGUAAGACAGGUGUGAAAUCCCCGGGCUUAACCUGGGAACUGCAUUUGUGACUGCAUCGCUGGAGUGCGGCAGAGGGGGAUGGAAUUCCGCGUGUAGCAGUGAAAUGCGUAGAUAUCGAGAGGAACACCAGUGGCGAAGGCGAGUCCCUGGACAACACCUGACACUGAGGCACGAAAGCUAGGGGAGCAAACAGG
rnacentral:rRNA from 1 species